GCUCACAAAUUUUGAAGAAAAUCGCACUUACUAAUUAGUUGAUGACCUCAAAGUUCCACUCGGAUGUCAGCCGGCCUCUCCUUUUCCAAUCUGAUGCUAAACUUCCAACACCAAUAUCUCUUUUUUCUACCAUUCGAUUGCUUCCAAAUUUUACUUGUAUAUAGAAUAUAAAGUCUUUUACUGAUAAAACCAAAAAUCUCUCCAAUUCAAUUAGCAAAUUGCUAGAUAUCUAAGAAAACCUUAUUGGUCCUCAAAAUCCUAAAUCCCGAGACCUUAGCUCACAAAAACCUUCAUAUGUAUCGAUCUAGUCAUUCGAUUGACCUCAAAUCUCUUACAUACAUUUACAACAAGCAUACCAAUAAGUUUCUAAAUUUUCACCUAUAAAAAUGCUACAAAAUUCACAAAAUCCAAAAAUUUGUAAACCGGUUUUAUUUCUCAAAGAUCUAAAUUCACAAAGAACAUCACUUGCUUUGAAAAUCCCU
rnacentral:lncRNA from 1 species